GACGAACGCUGGCGGCGUGCCUAAUACAUGCAAGUCGAGCGCAGGAAACUGACGGAACUCUUCGGAGGGAAGGCAGUGGAAUGAGCGGCGGACGGGUGAGUAACACGUAAGGAACCUGCCUCAAGGAUUGGGAUAACUCCGAGAAAUCGGAGCUAAUACCGGAUAGUUCAUCGGACCGCAUGGUCCGUUGAUGAAAGGCGCUUCGGCGUCACCUUGAGAUGGCCUUGCGGUGCAUUAGCUAGUUGGUGGGGUAACGGCCCACCAAGGCGACGGUGCAUAGCCGACCUGAGAGGGUGAUCGGCCACACUGGGACUGAGCCACGGCCCAGACUCCUACGGGAGGCAGCAGUAGGGAAUCUUCCACAAUGGACGAAAGUCUGAUGGAGCAACGCCGCGUGAGUGAUGAAGGUUUUCGGAUCGUAAAACUCUGUUGUAAGGGAAGAACACGUACGAGAGGAAAUGCUCGUACCUUGACGGUACCUUACGAGAAAGCCACGGCUAACUACGUGCCAGCCGCCGCCGUAACAC
rnacentral:rRNA from 1 species